GGAAUCUUGCGCAAUGGGCGAAAGCCUGACGCAGCAACGCCGCGUGCGGGAAGAAGGCUUUCGGGCUGUAAACCGCUUUCAGCAGGAACGAAAAUGACGGUACCUGCAGAAGAAGGAGCGGCCAACUAUGUGCCAGCAGCCGCGGUGAUACAUAGGCUUCAAGCGUUGUCCGGAUUUAUUGGGCGUAAAGAGUUCGUAGGCGGUCGAGUAAGUCGGGUGUGAAAAUUCUGGGCUCAACCCAGAAACGCCACCCGAUACUGCUUAACUUGAGUUCGAUAGGGGAGUGGGGAAUUCCUAGUGUAGCGGUGAAAUGCGCAGAUAUUAGGAGGAACACCGGUGGCGAAGGCGCCACUCUGGAUCGAUACUGACGCUGAGGAACGAAAGCAUGGGUAGCAAACAGGAUUAGAUACCCUGGUAGUCCAUGCCGUAAACGGUGGGCACUAGGUGUGGGAUUCUAUUAACGAAUUCCGCGCCGUCGCUAACGCAUUAAGUGCCCCGCCUGGGGAGUACGGUCGCAAGACUAAAACUCAAAUGAAUUGACGG
rnacentral:rRNA from 1 species